rnacentral:rRNA from 1 species
AUGGCGGCAAGCUUCAGUCGUCGCAACCGGAGCUACAAUGGUCUCAACAAGAGCUUCAACCGCGGGGUGCGGCUGUUGCACGGGGUAAAGCAACAAGGACGGACGGCGGUGGUUGGGGCUGGUGACUGGGAUGGUGGCCGGCGGGGACGAGGGCGGACGGCUGUGACGAGGACGGUGGCCGGCGGGACGAGGGCGGACAGCUGCGACGAGGACGGCAGCUUCGUGGACGAGGGCGGCCGGCGAGCUGGCUGGCAUAUGGAAGAUCACGGGGCAGUGGGGAUGAACAGAUGGCAUGACUUUUUUUUUUACCAGCGCAGCAAUUGGGGAAGAUGCAAUCGUGCGACUAUUAUGAAACGCAUCUUACGUCUACGGUACGACCGGCCGAAUUAUUCGACCGGCGCACCGGCGCAGAUCAGUGCCUUUUCUAUUUCCCUCGGUUGCUUCCCUCCAUUUUUUUCAUUUCCCUCCAAAAUAAGCUAA